rnacentral:rRNA from 1 species
UACGUAGGCAGCGAGCGUUGUUCGGAAUUACUGGGCGUAAAGAGUGUGUAGGCGGUGCUCUAAGUUCGGUGUGAAAUCUCCUGGCUCAACUGGGAGGGUGCGCCGGAAACUGGAGUGCUUGAGCGUGGGAGAGGAAAGCGGAAUUCCUGGUGUAGCGGUGAGAUGCGCAGAUAUCAGGAGGAACACCGGUGGCGAAGGCGGAUCUCUGGGCCGAUACUGACGCUGAGGAGCGAAAGCGUGGGGAGCGAACAGG